CCUACGGGAGGCAGCAGUGAGGAAUAUUGGUCAAUGGGCGAGAGCCUGAACCAGCCAAGCCGCGUGAGGGAGUACUGACCUAUGGGUUGUAAACCUCUUUUGUCGGGGAGCAAAAGCAGGACGUGUCCGGCUGUGAGAGUACCCGACGAAAAAGCAUCGGCUAACUCCGUGCAAGCAGCCGCGGUAAUACGGAGGAUGCGAGCGUUAUCCGGAUUUAUUGGGUUAAAGGGGUGCGCAGGCGGAUGGUUAAGUCAGCGGUAAAAUCGUGGGGCUCAACCCCAUCCAGCCGUUGAAACUGGGGAUCUAGAGUGUGCGAGAGGUAUGCGGAAUUCGUGGUGUAGCGGUGAAAUGCAUAGAUAUCACGCAGAACCCCGAUUGCGAAGGCAGCAUACCGGUGCACAACUGACGUUCAGGCACGAAAGCGUGGGUAGCGAACAGGAUUAGAUACCCUUGUAGUC
rnacentral:rRNA from 1 species